rnacentral:hammerhead_ribozyme from 1 species
GUACUGCUGAAGAGUCCCCAAGCUAGGGCGAAACGGCUGUCCAGUAC